UAGGGAAUUUUGCGCAAUGGGCGAAAGCCUGACGCAGCAACGCCGCGUGAGGGAUGAAGGUCUUCGGAUUGUAAACCUCUGUUGAGUGGGAAGAAAUUUCGCAGGGCUAAUCUCCUGCGGAUUGACGGUACCAUUUGAGGAAGCCCCGGCUAACUACGUGCCAGCAGCCGCGGUAAUACGUAGGGGGCAAGCGUUGUUCGGAAUUACUGGGCGUAAAGGGAGCGUAGGCGGGAAAGUAAGUUGGAAGUUUAAUUCUUCGGCUUAACCGGGGACCAGCUUUCAAUACUGCUUUUCUUGAGUGUGGAAGAGGGAGACGGAAUUCCAGGUGUAGCGGUGGAAUGCGUAGAUAUCUGGAAGAACACCAGUAGCGAAGGCGGUCUCCUGGUCCAUUACUGACGCUGAGGCUCGAGAGCUAGGGGAGCAAACAGG
rnacentral:rRNA from 1 species